AGAGAAGUGCAACGAGCAUGAAUUGGGAAUAAGAUAUGGAAGGUCUGUCACUGCUUAAGUCACCUCGGGUCACGUCCAAUAAAACACUGAAGGUAGGAAGUCCAAGAUCAAGACACUGGAAAAUUAUGUAUCUAUGAAGAACUGCAUCCUGGUUCAUAAUGAGUUUUCUUUUCACUGUGAUCUCAUGGCAGAAGAGGGUUCUUCAGCUGUGGAGCAAAGGCAUGGGAAACUGAGACACUGUCCAGCCUAUGUAGCUUUCUUCAGUCUUUGGAAACUGGCUCACAAUGGACCCAAUGGACCCUUUUGUCUCUGCUGCACAACUGGACAAAACAGUGCUGUAUUACUAAGAAGUUCAUAAAAGACAGGACAUUGGACUUCUUUCCUCCUCCUUUGAGUCUCGGCACUAAUUUUGUCUCCCCAUCUCCUUGUCUUUGUUAGAAGCAAAACCUACCAUUUCAAUAUGUAAUAUGUGG